rnacentral:rRNA from 1 species
AGUGAAUAGAUACCCGGGUAGUCCACGCCGUAAACGAUGAAUGCCCAGCCGUUAGUGGGUUUACUCACUAGUGGCGCAGCUAAACGCUUUAAGCAUUCCGCCUGGGGAGUACGGUCGCAAGAUUAAAACCUCAAAGGAAUUGACGGGGGUCCCGCACAAGCGGUGGAGCAUGUGGUUUAAAUUCGACGCAACGCGCAGAACCUUACCAGCCCUUGACAUCCCGGUCGCGGACUCCAGAGACGGAGUUCUUCAGUUCGGCUGGACCGGAGACAGGUGCUGCAUGGCUGUCGUCAGCUCGUGUCGUGAGAUGUUGGGUUAAAGUCCCGCAACGAGCGCAACCCCCGGUCUUUAGUUGCUACCAUUCAGUUGAGCACUCUAAGGAGACUGCCGGUGAUAAGCCGCGAGGAAGGUGGGGAUGACGUCAAGUCCUCAUGGCCCUUACGGGCUGGGCUACACACGUGCUACAAUGGCGGUUGACAAUGGGAAGCGAAGACGCAAGUCCUAGC